GUGGGUUCUUCAGGUGGAGGAGCAGAAAGAAGUUGGACGUGCUCUCCCAACGACUUGUUGGUCAAUGCCCUUGUCAGCAGUGGCCGCACCUGCGUUCUUGUGUCCGAGGAGGACGAGGAGGCUUCGUACUUGGACCUAAAGCUCCGUGGGAAGUACUGUGUCUGCUUUGAUCCCCUGGAUGGCUCCUCCAACAUCGACUGCGGCAUGCCCACCGGAAUGGUAUGCGCACAAGUAAUUUCACCGCUAAAAAGGUUGAACGGAACACACAAUUAAUAAGAAGUUGGAGUCACUAUCUGACUUGAUUUGAUUGUCGGGCACAUGGAUAAAACAAGAUAGUCACAUCAGGAGAGGCGAUUUCAAAAGGAGCAUGAACCGCUGCAUGCCAGAUGACAAUGGAGGUGCUCGACUCAAGGCAGAGAUGAUCAUUAGGUGUCAAACCCACGUCCCCUCUGUCAUCUUCUAGAUGAAUUGCGUUAUAGAAAGUGGAAAAUUGUUGCUUGUUAUAUUGAUAUGCAGACUACCAAAUUGGGAAAUUUUUGAUGAUGAUGGAACUACAUUGUAAAAAGUGAAUCUUAUUAGGAUCACAAAUUUGUGUUGCUGAAAUUUCAUGACAACAUAGAGGGGAUUACAGAAGAGAGCUGCCAAAUAAAGAGCUGAAGAAGCCCAUCUCAUCGCCAUAUACCACCUGUUGCAAAUUAAAGAUAGCUA